GACGAACGCUGGCGGCGUGCUUAACACAUGCAAGUCGAACGGAAAGGCCCUGCUUUUGUGGGGUGCUCGAGUGGCAAACGGGUGGUUAACACGUGGGUAACCUGCCUUGGCCUUUGGGAUAAUUUCAGGAACCUGGGGCUAAAACCGGAUAGAGCCUCUGGCGGAUGGGGGGGGGUUGGAAGGUUUCGGCGGUUGGGGAUGGACUCGCGGCUUAUCAGCUUGUUGGUGGGGUAGUGGCUUACCAAGGCUUUGACGGGUAGCCGGCCUGAGAGGGUGACCGGCCACAUUGGGACUGAGAUACGGCCCAGACUCCUACGGGAGGCAGCAGUGGGGAAUAUUGCACAAUGGGCGGAAGCCUGAUGCAGCAACGCCGCGUGCGGGAUGACGGCCUUCGGGUUGUAAACCGCUUUCGCCUGUGACGAAGCGUGAGUGACGGUAAUGGGUAAAGAAGCACCGGCUAACUACGUG
rnacentral:rRNA from 1 species